rnacentral:RNase_P_RNA from 1 species
AGAGGGCAGUGCGCAAUCGCGUUCAGCUUCGGCUGAUCGAGGAAAGUCCGGACACUGUAGGGCAGGGUGGUGGGUAACGCCCACCGGGAGGAAUCCCAGGGAAAGUGCAACAGAAAACAUACCGCCAACGUCGGGCAUGCUCGACACGGUUAGGGUGAAAUGGUGAGGUAAGAGCUCACCGCGGAAACGGUGACGUUUCUGGCAUGGCAAACCCCACCCGGUGAAAGAUCAAAUAGGAAAGUACGGAGCGGCCCGCUCCACAUUACUUUCGGGUAGAUCGUUUGAGACCGUUGGCAACAUCGGUCCUAGAGAAAUGAUUGCGAGCGGCUUUCGGGCCGCCACAGAAUCCGGCUUAUAGCUGCCCUCUCAUC